UUGUUCAGUUUUGGCAAUUUCCUGAAAAUGUAAUCAAAAUCCAUCCAUAAAUUUUUGAGUUAGGUUGCUAACAGAUAGACAGACAAAC